GUUUGGGAACAUUUUAAUGAAGUUCCUCUACCUUUGAAGAAUAUGUAUUACGGUUAUAACAACCAACAAGAAUGCACUUUUAUGUAGAAAUCCAUGAUUAAAUCAAGUCUUCCUGA